rnacentral:sRNA from 1 species
CAGCCCUGCCCCGAAAGGCAGUGCUGGACUUUAUGAAGUCUGUCUCUGUAACUCCAAACUGAGAGGAGGCUUGCUAAAAAGUAUUCCCUUUCCUUUAAACCUUUAGACCUUUAAACCUGGCUCGCACCCCACCGCCCUCAUGGAGAAACCUGAAAUGAGGUUUGGAAGGGCUCGGCCUUCUCCUUUGGGCUCGGCCUCUUAUGGUAAUAAAGUGUGAGUAGUUUUCUUUGUCUUCACAGACACUUGGCGCACUUGACCCAGGAGUAACCUAUACUAGUGGCUACUUCACCACCAGGUCGCAACUUUCUUAUAGCAUUCCCAGAUAUCAGCCAGAGACACCCCCUGUGACCGCUUUCUCACUCCCUUCUUUGGAACCAGAUCCCUAGUUUGAGCCCCAACCCCACCUUUAGAUCUUCUGCCUAGGCCUUGCCUCUGUGGAGAGCAUCGUGGGGUCUCAGCUCCUCAGCAGGGGCGGGAGUGAACAGGUGAGACUCGAGGAGCCUUUGCGGGAUGGAGAAUCGCGGCCAGCUCAGGAAGCAAAUACAAGACGCCGGAUCAAACCUUUACUCCUCCACUUCCCACCACCGCUCCGCAUUUUGAAAGAGCGCGCCCUGCACUAACCUGAAUUCAGAGAGAACCUUCUUCGGAGCUCCGCAUUGCGCACCCCUGAAGGAGCUGGCGCUGAGACCUCCUGUUCACAUCCUUCUGCUCUGGAACUAAUCGAAACCCUAGUCCAUCUCCUCAGAUGACUUCAUUUUGGAGCGUUACUCUCAUCCGAGGUGAGGGAGGGAUAUACCCAAGAGGAGGAACUACAGGGGCUGGGGCCUCCUCUGCUCAUCUGAUAAUUUGCCUUGGGGGUUCCGCUUAAAAGGUGUGGAAGCUCAAAAAAAAAAAAAAACAAAAACAAAAAACAAAAACAAAAAACCCGAGAAUGUAUUGAGCCUAGAUCUCGCAGGGCAACUGGAGUUAAGGAGAUGUGUGAAGAUCACACAAGGGUCCCAGGCAACCUCCCUUCACCCUAUCUCCACCUUAAUCAGCAACUCUGGUCUUCCUUAGAUUAGCCACCGAUUUCAGAGCCAGCGCUUCUGGCCUUACUUACUACUAAUUGCUUGUGCUGGGCAAUGCUCCUUAGUGUUUCUGAGGGGCAUAAGCAGACCAUGCCAUCCACAGCUUUCUAACUCCACCUUCGAAGCCAAAGUGCUAAGGAAGCAGCACAUUGUCUUCUAGGUCCCUGCCACCUAUGAGUCCCGGCCUAGAGUCACCUGGCUUGUUUCCUGGGUCCCCUUCCACGGGUACUUUCCUCUUUGGCCUGUGGAUACUUGAACCCAGAGCAGAGGAGUGAAGCUGGUGCCCAGAGGGUUGUUCAUUUCCGGUGUUGCACGGAGCAGGCGCAUCUCAGUGUGUUAGUUGGUCAGGAGACUGCAGAUGUGCAGAUGCACAAAUACUGUAUUUUUCCUGCACACCAGUACAUGCACACAUACAUACUGUGGUAGAACGGUGGUCCCACAGAUUUUGACCCUUGUUUUAAAUAUAUUAUGGCAUCUAAUCUCUUCCCAUUCGAGAUGUCUCAAGUUGUUUAUUUCCAGAGGGCUUUAUGUAACAUCGGCACAAAUUGGAGCAUCUAGCCUAUGAGACCUGCAGGCUUUAUCUCAAGAUGAUCAACCUCAGAGUUCCUCUCCAGACCUCAAGAAUUUCAGGGAGGAUUCAGAAGCUUUUAAGCUUUGACUAGUGCUUUAAGAACAGUAUUGCAAGAAGAGCUAUGUGUGUGUGUGGGGUGGGGCGGAGUAGGGAGAUGGCUUAAGUACUGUGAUAGAUGUGUAUGAAAGUGUGGGAAUCCACUAUUCUGUAUGCUAACUAAGCAUGUAAUAAAGGAAGAGAAACAACACCAACCCAGGGCCAAGAGGAAAGUAAUGAACUAAACUGAAAAUUCCGUGUGCCCAGUGUGGUGAUGUGUACCUGCACUGCCUUCUGGUCAGUACCUUCUCCAACACAAAAUGGACUCUCUCUUUAAAAACAAAUCUGUCCUGCUAUGGGGAAUACAAUGGUAACUGUAGGGUGGUUGCCCUCCUAAGGGCACAGCCUCUCCAGAGAUAACGUAAGAGCUGAGGUUUUCACACUUGGAAGCAUGCCUAAAGGUCAUCUGGUCUAUCCUCAACAGUUCACAAAUGACAGGAGCUGAUAGAAGACAAAGAGCCAGUCUUCAGGGAAGAGCACAGACUGCAGAUCUUCUCCAUAACAUUGGGUCUGCCAUAGCUAUAAUGACAGGGAUAUAAUGACCGUAUCCCUAAAUGACCUCUUAGGUUCCAUAUAGUUCAGUAAGCAUGCUACUUAAUGCUGUCACUUAUAUUCAUAUUGGACACGUUUAUCAUCAUUGUAAUAAAUUCUAUAAAUAAAAGUUAAGUGACAUGGUCA